rnacentral:rRNA from 1 species
CGAGGCGACUGCGGAGGACAUUACCGAUUGCGAGUAUCCUCGUGCCUAUUUCCCUUCCGUGUUGACUGAUCCACUGUUGACCGUUUGGAGGGAUUGCCCGCAGAUGAUACGGAUAGGUCUUUAGGAUGUUAACCUAGCUAACGUCAGGCUUAAGCCUGGAAUCCUAAUUCAUUAUUAACCCAAGGAAUUGGCAAUUAAUAUUGUCGCAUAAGCGUGCAAAACUUAAUGACAACUUUUAACAACGGAUCUCUUGGUUCUCGCAUCGAUGAAUAACGUACCUCAGUGCGAUAACAAGUGUGAAUUGUCUAAUCGGUGAAUCAGCCAGUCUUUGAACGCUGCGUGCGCUCCCUGGUAUUCCCUUGAGCACGCCCGUUUCAGUAUCAACAACAACCCACAUCCACAAUUUUGUUGGCAAUGGAAGUGACAGUACCGGCCUUACAAGGCCCGGCUUUAAAACUAUGAGCCUGAACCUUUAGUUAUCUCAGCUUGACCUUGUUUCAAGUAGAAAUACCCGCUCAACUUAAGCGACUCUCUGGGGGGCCUAACAAAUAAAUCAUUUUUUUAAAUUUGAUCUGAAAAUCCAGGUGGGGAUUACCCGCCUGGAACUAAGCAUAUCAAUAAUCCGGGAGGGA